GCGGGAGGGCAAUGUGGUGUUUAGGAAUAGCGCGACCGAAGGUUGAUCUAAGCGCAAGUCCUCCUGACUGGGGCUCUCGCCCAUAGAGGGUGCAAGGCCCAUAGUCGCUUAUGAUCUCCGGCGGAAGCAAAAUUCCUUGGAGUCGGGUUGCUUGAGAGUGCAGCCCUAAGUGGGUGGUAAACUCCAUCUAAGGCUAAAUACGACCACGAAACCGAUAGCGAACAAGUACCGUGAGGGAAAGUUGAAAAGAACUUUGAAGAGAGAGUUCAAGAGUGCGUGAAACCGUUUAGAGGUAAACGGGUGGGCCCUCGAAGGUGAUCGUCGGAGGGAUUCAGUCGGACGUGACCGUAAGCGUCGUUCGUCUCUAACGGUGCGGACCUCGGUCGGCCGGGCGGGCGAAGGCUGCGGGCCGUUUGGCGCAUUUCCUUCCGUUCGAACUACGCUGCGACCAGUCUGGUCACUGAAAGUUGUCGUCCUUGAAAACGGGCAACGGAAGGUGGCCGGCGGCGUCUCUCGGGAUGCCGUCGGUGUUUAUAGCCGGUUCGUUUCACGAGUGAGCGUUCAUCAGACUGGGGACGAUUCUAGCCCUGUGCGGGCUACGCCGAGCACUCCGUUUUGUGGAGCGUUGCGGGGUGACUGGAUGCGCCUGCGGUCGGUGGUUUCACCUUUGUACCCGUCUUGAAACACGGACCAAGGAGUCUAACAUGUGCGCGAGUCAUUGGGUCUUGAAUAGGCCCAAAGGCGUAAUGAAAGUGAAGGGCGGUUCGGCCGUCUGCCUUGGGAUCCCGCGGACCUCGCGUUCGCGGGCGCACCAAGGGCCCGUCCCGGUCGCCUCGUCGACGGGGCGGAGCAAGAGCGUACACGUUGGGACCCGAAAGAUGGUGAACUAUGCCUGGGCAGGACGAAGCCAGAGGAAACUCUGGUGGAGGUCCGCAGCGAUUCUGACGUGCAAAUCGAUCGUCAGCCGAAAGGGAAUCGGGUUAAUAUUCCCGAACCCGGACGCGGAGAUCGUCCUCUUCGGAGGUACAUUGCGGUAACGCAAACGAGCUCGGAGACGUCGACGGGAGCACCGGGAAGAGUUAUCUUUUCUUUGUAAGGAUUCGACUCCCUGGAAUCGGCUCGCCCGGAGAUAGGGAUGGUGUUUCCGUAAAGCACCGCGCCUCUUGCGGUGUCCGGAUCGCUCCCGUCGGCCCUUGAAAAUCCGAGUGAGAGAUAGUGAUUUUCGUGCCGGACCGUA
rnacentral:rRNA from 1 species